AUACCUUUCUCGGCCUUUUGGCUAAGAUCAAGUGUAGUAUCUGUUCUUAUCAGUUUAAUAUCUGAUAUGUGGACCAUUGGUUCACACGAUAUUAAAUUUAUUUUUUCAGGGGGAAGUUCCGUCACAGUAGCUUGCUGCUGGGUUCUUCACGUGUCGCCUUAGCGUUGCACUAUUGCUUUGGCCUGGCACACCCCAC
rfam:Daucus carota subsp. sativus cultivar DH1 chromosome 7, whole genome shotgun sequence.